CUACUUAAAUAUAUAAGCGCCCCCUUCAGGCUAUUCUGCAUGUAGUUUCAAAGCAGUGCAAGCACUUGAAUCCCAGUUUCCAGCAUUAUUUCCCCAUCUGAAGGACAGCACCUCCUGCAGCAGAGUGGGGCUGGUUUUUGAAUCUGGACCACCUUUCCUUGAAGAUCUCCCAUCCAACUACUGAUCAGGCUGGGCCUUUGCUGAGCCUCUGAGAUCUGAUUAAAAACUUCUGCUUCUGUAUGUACAGUAUGCAGGGCAAGUACUGAGUCCUCACCAGUCCACAAUAAAUGUUCUCGGAAG